rnacentral:rRNA from 1 species
CACGUAGGGGGCGAGCGUUGUCCGGAUUUAUUGGGCGUAAAGAGCUCGUAGGCGGCUUUGUCAGUCGGGUGUGAAACCUCCAGGCUCAACCUGGAGCCGCCACCCGAUACUGCAAUAGCUAGAGUCCGGUAGGGGAGCAUGGAACUCCUGGUGUAGCGGUGAAAUGCGUAGAUAUCAGGAGGAACACCUGCGGUGUAGACGGCUUACUGGACGGUAACUGACGCUGAGGCACGAAAGCGUGGGUAGCAAACAGG